rnacentral:miRNA from 1 species
CUCCAAAUGUUGCUGAACUACAACUCCCAUGUUUCUAUGUAUGAAAUAGAUAGGCUAAAAUCAUGGGAGUUGUAGUUCAGCAACAUCUAGAG